rnacentral:lncRNA from 1 species
AAAGGUUCCGACGGCCAACAAUGCUCAGCACCGUAACUUCCACUAUAUGUGUCUACGUAUGCAGCAACACUAUAUUGCCUAUCAAUAUAGUUUGUUGCCCCAUAUCUAACUUGUUGAAAGCACUUCAACGGAUGUGCGCACGACAUGUGGUAGAUGGCCCAUUUUCCACAUGAACACAACCUUCUAUUUUCAUUCACAAUUUGUAGAUUAUUCCCACGGUGUCCGCGGAUAGCUGUCUUAACUUCAAAAACACCUCGUUCAUGAUCGUACUGAAGAAAUAAAUGCCACUGUGCUUGCCUCCUAGACCUUUCAAAUCUUCUCAUUGGUAUUGGCAUAAAUUCAACAACCCGGUCCAUCAAUGCUGAUGCAGCUGCAUGCCUUCAACAAACCUCUCUGCACUCUGUUUGAAUGUCUUGUGAACCAUGGCAGUGACAAGCAGUCCACGUGCAGACUUCAACAAACCGUUGAAUGAUUUCGACACGUUUGUAGUGAGGGCUCCCCAUCGUUUGCCUCCAUCAGCAUGCAAUGUCCACAUGUGAAGAUCAUGCCCCAUCAACCAAGUAUUGGCUCUUGGUUCUAACUACCGGAUCGCUUUCAUGCGCUUCGUGAAUUUGCACUGCUGGUGCUCAGUUGCAGCCAUCCAC